CAGUGUCCCUUUAAGGAAUAUUGAAAUCAUAUAAACACCAUUUGAACUGUCCGCGUAUUAACUUUUAAACAAAUAAUCUAAACAAAUAAUGUAGGCCUAUGCACUUGAAAAAAGCUCAUAAUAUUAACUGACAUGCACAUCACACUCCAGAACAGUAGGUGGCAGUAAGAAAUGAAUCGCCUAUUGUCGAAACACAUUUUCAUUGACAGUAUUUAUCUUCUUCCUGCUGGCACCAAGUUGUUACCUUAUUGGUACAGAAAUAUUUUACAUAAAUCAAAACUAUAUAUGUGAAAUUCAUGCUGUAAUUCAGGUGGGAUAACAAACAAAAACAAAAAAAAAUCACCAAAGGGUAAAACCGGAAAUGGAAUUACGUCACUUCCUGUUCGUCAGUUGGUCUCCUGCUUUGAAAUUGAGGCAAUCGUUUUCAGCCGGGUAAGUUUCACAAUCCGUUUCAAUCCUUGUCAUCUUUGGCAAUAUGCUUGUAUUAAGACACUAUUACAGUCAUUUGUGAAGUAUACUACGCUAUUGUGAUGUUUUUGGCGCUUUUGUCUGUAUGGAAAGUUAACUGAUACGAAUAUUGUUAGAUCAUGCUGUGUGAUCUGACAAGCUGUUUGUCUUGCAUUCAAAUAUCCACUCUUAAACAUUAGAUUAUCUUGUGCAACAUCUUUAGGAGUAAAAAAAUAAAUAACCUUAAGGUUUAUCGAGUCUGAAGUGUAAUUUACCAGCAUAAUUAUUUUAAACAUAAUUUAACACCUGCUGCUGUUUAGCUUAGCAGCUAGCUAAUGCUCUCUAGCUUGCUAUUGCCCUGUAAUGCCCCACAUGUUACUCAAAAUAUGUAUUAUAUUUUUUGUAAUGGGCGUCACUAUUGGCCAGUCCUGAAUAUCACCUUUGAAAAGCCAUGUUUGCCGAUAUUGUGAGAAAAGGUUCAUCUCUGUUUUUCAACUUGACAGAUGGUUACCCCCUGUGCUAGUGGAAGAUGUGACUUUGAAGACAGUCAUUGUAAAAGGUGCAAAAGGCUUGUCUAAGAUAAGCUGGCAGUCUACACCGCAUGGCCUGCGUUGCUGACAUUAAGUGAAGUUAAUGCAGAGUUCCUGUGCCUGACAGAUACUUGAGGAAGCAUCUUGGAGGUUGUCAAGGAGAAGGGAGGCGUUGCCAGAAGGAAGGACUGGAGUGGCGAAGUGAUCCAAAGGCAGACUGCACAUCUACGUAUAUGGUUUGCAAGGAACAUCCCAUGCCAGAGACUGUGAUACAAGGCAUGGAGCUGUACAGUGAACUCGGAGCAUCUCUUGUGCAUGUGUGAUGCUGUUUGGACUCGGUUACCGGUAUAUACCCUCAAUCUCAACUCUGUGGAUUUGGAUUUACAAUUUUAAGUAUCCAGAUGAACUGAAAUAUAUGUUCUGGUGAAUUUGGAAAAUAUGCCCAAAAGGUCCAAUCACUAUAAACUACAGUAAAUAUGUUGGACACUGGCAAUCUCAGGUUCUAAGCCAUUGUAUAAAAGGACAAUCCAUCGCAUUUCUAUUAAUACUUUUGUGUGCUGUUCUCUGAUCUGAGUUGAUGAUUUUUUUUGUCCUUUUUUGUCUUUUGUCAGCAUGGCAUUGAGUAUCAUUGAGGGGCUUUUUUCUAAACAUUGGCUAUGCAGAUUAAAAGAUGAGCACUAUAAUGAAAGGCGUAAUAAUGCCUCAGUAGCACUUCAUGGACACAUUGAUAUCAUAAUUAAAAACAUUUCUCUCUCCCUCUCCUCCCCCACUUUGAGAAAGAAUCAAAGAGUCAAAAGUGCUCCUGCGGGCAGUUGGUUAAUUCUAAAAUGUCCAUUCACAAAUAACAUCUUUUUCAUGAAUGUCUAAGUAAAUAAGUGAGUAAAUAGACACAUACUGUUCUGAUGAGAGUAUGCUUUUCGGCCAAAGAUAUCUGACUGCAUAUCUGACCCAAGGGAUUAUGACAUUACUUAGAAUUUGAUGGUGGUUGUAAGCAUUCAUGAAAAAGAUGACAUUUCUGAACAGGCCACAUUAAUUAAUGUGUUACAGUACACUGAUAAUUUCAGGUUUUCUGUUUAAUUUCUGUUUAAUCAUACGAUUAUAUUGUCAAGAUUUUGGUGUUUUAUUAUCGUUUGACUGCAUGUUUGUCCAGCUGAUGAAAUAUUAAUAAAAGAAAUGUUUUGAA